CAGAUUGAAGCUUGCUUUGAACUGUUUUAGUGGCGGACGGGUGAGUAACGCGUGAGGAACCUGCCUUUCAGAGGGGGAUAACGUCUGGAAACGGACGCUAAUACCGCAUGACAUUUUGUUGCCGCAUGGUGAUAAAAUCAAAGGAGCAAUCCGCUGAGAGAUGGACUCGCGUCCGAUUAGCCGGUUGGCGGGGUAACGGCCCACCAAAGCAACGAUCGGUAGCCGGGCUGAGAGGCUGAACGGCCACAUUGGGACUGAGACACGGCCCAGACUCCUACGGGAGGCAGCAGUGGGGGAUAUUGCACAAUGGAGGAAACUCUGAUGCAGCAACGCCGCGUGAGGGAAGAAGGUUUUCGGAUUGUAAACCUCUGUCCUCAGGGACGAUAAUGACGGUACCUGAGGAGGAAGCUCCGGCUAACUACGUGCCAGCAGCCGCGGUAAUACGUAGGGAGCAAGCGUUGUCCGGAUUUACUGGGUGUAAAGGGUGCGUAGGCGGCACUGCAAGUCAGGUGUGAAAACCAUGGGCUUAACUUAUGGAUUGCACUUGAAACUGUGGUGCUUGAGUGAAGUAGAGGCAGGCGGAAUUCCCGGUGUAGCGGUGAAAUGCGUAGAGAUCGGGAGGAACACCAGUGGCGAAGGCGGCCUGCUGGGCUUUAACUGACGCUGAGGCACG
rnacentral:rRNA from 1 species